rnacentral:pre_miRNA from 1 species
UUUUGAUUGUUGCUCAGAAAGCCCUUUGUUUAUCGAGUUGGCUUUCAAGUGACAAUCAAGUUG